AGCCAGUGGUGGGUGUGGUCGCUGGAGCUCCGGUCUGCACACCUGCAGCUCAUCUACCUGCAAUCAACGCACCCUUAUAAUCCAGGCCAACCUCCCAGACCUGGCUGGAUUGUUGAAUCAGUUUGUGUGAGGACAUGCCAGCUGAACCUGAACUAAACACUCGUGUUAAGUAUCUUCUGCUAAACUGGUUUCCCUGCCUCAUCUCAGACCACCAGUUCUGAGCCUGGACCCAGAUGAGCCCUGGAGCCUGAACGCCACCACCACCACUCUCUGACGCCUCAGAAAGCCAGCCACGCAAACCACAAUCUGUUGAAACAUCUACUCUAGUCUGCAUCUGAGUUCUCGUCCCCGGUCCUGACAGUCUUUGUAUGCUAGCAUCCCUUUGUGUGUUUAUGUGCUGAAGCUCAAACUCUAACUGAAGUCAGAGCUCACCAGACACCCCAACGAUUCAGUUUUGCUGAUUUUACAUCAUAUCGGUAUGCAUUCAAAAAUCCAUUAAACCCUGAAUUAUUAUUUGCUCACGUUGAAAGAUUUUGUAUCCAGCCACCUCUUUCUACAGACUUUGUAUGCAGUGUUCAAACUCAAGACUCUCCCCCCCCCAAAGACUGUUUUAUCCUCUUUUGAAAAAUAAGCACAACAAAUCUGCUGCAGUAUCAUCAUACUUUACAUUUGCUCACAAAGAAAGCGAGGAGAAUUUGAAUUUCCCCGAGUUAAGAUACUUAUCAAGCUAACAGCUGGAGCCGACACACACGGUUUCUACCUGUGAAAUCUAAUGAAGACGCCUGAUGAAAGAAAUCAAGCACAGCAUGAGCAGGAGUAUUCCCCUCCAGCUCUUGUCAACAUUUCCAGAGUUGGCGUGUCACGAUGUGCUGGGGAGAUAGCAGACAAAACAGAUACAAGGACACUCACCUCGAAUGGAACGAUGAGGAUAAAACUCGGCUGUGAAUAAAUGAGUGUGUGUGAGCUCACCGAGCGGCUAAGUGCAGACACGCACGUCUCGGAAGCUGAUGACGGCGACGACCCCCUUAACCUCAGCCUCAAGGCUGCACCCUGCGGAGAUUGGCAGGUUUUAUAAUGACUUCCUGCUGAUCCCAGAUGAACGGCGAGGCGCUAUCUGAGCGAGCGAGAGGGAUUUGCCAUGCAUGUAAAUCGCAAAUGGGUUAAUCCAAGUUCAAAACAAUAACCCAAAGUUAGGGACACAUUAGACUGAUGAAACAUCCAA